AGAGUUUGAUCCUGGCUCAGAACGAACGCUGGCGGCGCGCCUAAUACAUGCAAGUCGAGCGAGAAGGUGUAGCAAUACACUUGUAAAGCGGCGAACGGGUGAGGAAUGCAUGGGUAACCUACCCUCGAGUGGGGAAUAACUAGCCGAAAGGUUAGCUAAUACCGCAUAUGUUUCCGGAACUUCGGUUUCGGAAAGAAAGCAAUACCGUGGGUAUUGCGCUCCUGGAUGGGCUCAUGUCCUAUCAGCUUGUUGGUGAGGUAACGGCUCACCAAGGCUUCGACGGGUAGCUGGUCUGAGAGGACGAUCAGCCACACUGGCACUGCGACACGGGCCAGACUCCUACGGGAGGCAGCAGUAAGGAAUAUUGCGCAAUGGACGAAGGUCUGACGCAGCGACGCCGCGUGGGGGAUGAAGGUCUUCGGAUUGUAAACCCCUUUCGGGAGGGAAGAUGGAGUGGGUAACCACUUGGACGGUACCUCCAGAAGCAGCCACGGCUAACUUCGUG
rnacentral:rRNA from 1 species